rnacentral:rRNA from 1 species
AUGCACGCUGGCGGCGUGCCUAAUCCAUGCAAGUCGCGCGAACAGACGAGGAGCUUGCUCCUUCGACGUUAGCGGCGGACGGGUGAGUAACACGUAGGUAACCUACCUAUAAGACUGGGAUAACUUCGGGAAACCGGAGCUAAUACCGGAUAAUAUUUCGAACCGCAUGGUUCGAUAGUGAAAGAUGGCUUUGCUAUCACUUAUAGAUGGACCUGCGCCGUAUUAGCUAGUUGGUAAGGUAACGGCUUACCAAGGCAACGAUACGUAGCCGACCUGAGAGGGUGAUCGGCCACACUGGAACUGAGACACGGUCCAGACUCCUACGGGAGGCAGCAGUAGGGAAUCUUCCGCAAUGGGCGAAAGCCUGACGGAGCAACGCCGCGUGAGUGAUGAAGGUCUUCGGAUCGUAAAACUCUGUUAUUAGGGAAGAACAAACGUGUAAGUAACUGUGCACGUCUUGACGGUACCUAAUCAGAAAGCCACGGCUAACUACGUG